GCGAGAGAGAAUAGUGUGGUGAGUUUUCAAUAUAAUUCAUCUAGAAAUUGAAUUCUAUUUUAGUAUAGUAAAUACAGCAUUUUCAUUUAUAACAUGUAUAUACAUUUUUGUACUUAACUAAGCAUGCUAAGUAAUAUAUCAAAAGCAUUCCAUUCUCUGAGAAACUGAUGUUCACAUUUGUUUUUCAUAGCAAUAUUUUUGUCCAUUGCAUACACAUAUUUAUUCUUUCUUUUACUGAGUUUAUUGUCAGUUUUUUU
rnacentral:lncRNA from 1 species